GUGAAUCACAAAGCCAUCUGGUCACAAAAUACUAGGCUGCGGCUUGAGAUCCCGAUCUGGAAAUUGAAGAGUUGGAGCAGUGUGACUUGGUAAGAUGCCUAUCUGGAAGUUGAUGAGAGAAAAUCUGGGACAAAUACCGUGAUGGUUUCGUUAUGGAAGAAGGCGCUGAUGAACUGGCAAUGGAGAGCUUGGAAAGCACAUUGAACAGAGGAGCUUCAAAAUCUUUCUCCUUCACACGAUUGGAGCAACCCUAGAUCUUAAAGGAGAAAACGCCAGGAUCACCUAAUGAUCCAAAGGAAAUACUGUUUGUGACUUCAAAUGGUUGGUGAUCCUCUAAGAAAUGGUUGACUUCGAGGACGAGGAAUUGUUGCAUAUAUGGCUU